rnacentral:rRNA from 1 species
UUCUGUAAGCCUGUGAAGGUGGCCUGUGAGGGUUGCUGGAGGUAUCAGAAGUGCGAAUGCUGACAUAAGUAACGAUAAAGCGGGUGAAAAGCCCGCUCGCCGGAAGACCAAGGGUUCCUGUCCAACGUUAAUCGGGGCAGGGUGAGUCGACCCCUAAGGCGAGGCCGAAAGGCGUAGUCGAUGGGAAACGGGUUAAUAUUCCCGUACUUGGUGUUACUGCGAAGGGGGGACGGAGAAGGCUAUGUUGGCCGGGCGACGGUUGUCCCGGUUUAAGCGUGUAGGUGUGUGUUCCAGGUAAAUCCGGUUCACUUUAACACUGAGGCGUGACGACGAGGCACUACGGUGCUGAAGCAACAAAUGCCCUGCUUCCAGGAAAAGCCUCUAAGCAUCAGGUAACAUCAAAUCGUACCCCAAACCGACACAGGUGGUCAGGUAGAGAAUACCAAGGCGCUUGAGAGAACUCGGGUGAAGGAACUAGGCAAAAUGGUGCCGUAACUUCGGGAGAAGGCACGCUGACACGUAGGUGAAGUGAUUUACUCA